GACCACACUGCAGAGUUCAAGGAGGCCUUCCAGCUGUUUGACUGAACAGGUGAUGGCAAGAUCCUGUACAGCCAGCGUGGGGACAUGAUGAGGGCCCUGGGCCAGAAAUUCACCAACACUGAGGUGCCCAAAGUCCUGGGGAGCUCCAAGAUGAAAUGAAUGUGAAGGUGCUGAACUUUGAGCACUUUCUGCCCAUGCUGCAGAUGGUGGUGGCCAAAAACAAGGACCAGGGCAUCUAUGAGGAUUAUGUCAAAGGACUUAGGUGUUUGACAAGGAAGGAAAUGGCACGGUCAUGGGUGCUGAAAUCUGGCAUAUUCUUGUCACACUGGGUGAGAAGAUGACAGAGGAAGAAGUAGACAUGCUAGGGGCAGGGCACGAGGAUAACAUUGGUUGUAUUAACUAGGAAGAGCUCAUCUGCAUGGUGCCAAAUGG
rnacentral:lncRNA from 1 species